rnacentral:rRNA from 1 species
AAGGGUGGGGAUGACGUCAAGUCCUCGGUCGGCCCUUAUGGCCGAGGGCUUCACACGUAAUACAAUGGUCGGUACAGGAGGGUUGCCAACCCGCGAGGGGGAGCCAAUCCCAGAAAGCCGAUCGUAGUCCGGAUCGCAGUCUGCAACUCGACUGCGUGAAGUCGGAAUCGCUAGUAAUCGUGGAUCAGCAUGUCACGGUGAAUACGUUCCCGGGUCUU